rnacentral:tRNA from 1 species
UCCCUGGUGGCUCAGACGGUAAAGCAUUUGCCUGCAAUGCAGGAGACCCGGGUUCGAUUCCUGGGUUGGGAA